CGUGGGGUAGGGCGCUGGCCUCCGCGGCGGCGGGCGGUAAAAGAGCCCCAGGGGCUUCAGGGAGUAACUGGAAAAAGGAAGGAGCGCUGGAGGGAGAAUAAUAUUUAGCGUUUGAGCCAAGUUUAUAAAGGCCGUUCCUGGACAGACUUGUUAAUCACAUUGAUAUGCUGCUGCUUGUUCCGUGAUUUAAUAGCACCUGUGAAAAAUGAGGUGGCUUUUUUUCAAAUUCUGAACUAGAAAAAUCAAGGGUCGAGAGGAUGCACGACUGCUCUUUUCUAGGCCUCUUCAUCCGUACUUCAAAGUACUUUAAAAAAAAAAACCCCACAACUACUUUUUAAAAUAAUUCUCUCACCCGUACCUUGCCUAAUUCUAUAGCUGGAUGGUGUGACUGCUACUUUCUCUAGUUUUUAUUAUUGUUUAAAAAAAAAAAAAAAAAGUCUGUUGGCAUAAACAAGCGAUGAGCUCAGGGUGAUGCUUUGAACGCUCAGUCUCCAGGUACUUGCAGAAGGGCGAGAACGAAGCCGAGGCUGGACCCGCUCCCUUCCGCGCGUUACUCGUAGCUGUUGUGCUGCCUUGCAUUUCUGUCCGGUGGUGAAUCCCCUUUCGUGUUGCUGAUGCCAGGGGAGGGGAAAGCUGGCCGGCGGUGCGUCGGGUGGCUCCCCCGAGGCGUGCUUCUUGCCCUCCCGCUCGCAGCCCUUCUGUGAGGGCUUUCUAGCUCAUACUACUCAGACCUUCCGAAAAAUCCCCGUCGGAGUUAACUAAAGGCGUCUUAUUUUUCCACAGCCUCACAGUUGUUUCAUUCCCGUUUCUCCUUCACUUACAGCUCUCGAUUCGUAAUGUUUGAGCAAUUUUUUUCUGUUUUCUGUUAAAUUUGCCAUAGAUAAACACCGUGGAGGUGGGGCCGUGAAACAGAGACAAGGCCGAGUCCAAAGGCAAGGCCAAGCCCAAAAGCAGGUGAAGACAGACAAGCGGAAAAAGGGUGCCAGGUCGAAAGGAAACUACACGGCUGUGUGCUUGGCAGGUCAGAGCUUAACAGGCCUCCACGAACAGCUCGCCAAGGACUUUCUGAACGCUCACCUCUACGGACCAGACACCAACCGGGUACAGGCAAAUGAAUUUUUUUCCCUUGAAAAUAAGAAAAACCCAGUUAAAAAAGCUGCAGUCCAGUUUGUGGACAAAUCUUGGGGGCAAGAGAAAAAGCAAAGAGCAACAAGGUUUAAGAAACGUUGGCUCGCAGCACAGAUUAAAACUUGACUAUGAAGACAGCUUUUUUCAGAAGAUGCUAUUAAGGACUUUCAGUAAAAGUCUCUCACCACAGCAAAGGCGGGGUGGUUUGUGGUUUUUUUUUUCCCCCUCCCACUUCUCCAUUAUCACUCUGCUUCCAGCUCCAGCCCCCAGCAGGCACUGACCUUCACUGAGCUGGGCCUCAACUGUCUUCCCUCCUCUCUCCCCUCUGCCUUUCAGAAGUGGUCAGGGAAGCGAAGCAGCAGCUGGGCCAGGGCAGUGACCCCCUCAUCCUCAGCAGUGACACAGAGCAGCUGCUGUUAAGACCAGGCUUGUCAAGCUGGGUGCUACUCCCCCAGGCAGCAGCUUUGCAGAGAAUAAAGAGGAACAACAUUGUACUUAA